rnacentral:rRNA from 1 species
AGAGUUUGAUCCUGGCUCAGAUUGAACGCUGGCGGCGUGCUUAACACAUGCAAGUCGUGCGGUAACAGGCGUAGCAAUACGUGCUGACGAGCGGCGAACGGGUGCGUAAUACAUGGGAAUCUGCCCUUUGGUGGGGAAUAACCCGGCGAAAGCCGGGCUAAUGCCGCAUAAGAUCUUCGGAUGAAAGCGGGGGAUCGUAAGACCUCGCGCCGAUGGAUGAGCCCAUGUCGGAUUAGCUAGUUGGUGAGGUAACGGCUCACCAAGGCGACGACCGUAGCUGGUCUGAGAGGACGGCCAGCCACACUGGGACUGAGACACGGCCCAGACUCCUACGGGAGGCAGCAGUGGGGAAUAUUGGACAAUGGGCGAAAGCCUGAUCCAGCGACGCCGCGUGUGUGAAGAAGGCCUGCGGGUUGUAAAGCACUUUCGAUGGGAACGAAAUGUGCCGGGCUAAUAUCCCGGCAAGCUGACGUUACUCAAUGAAGAAGCACCGGCUAACUCUGUGCCAGCAGCCGCGGUAAU